CGCCGUCCCCGCGCGGAGCGGCUGGGAUCGGAGCGGGGCGGCCCGGCCGUGAGGAGCUCCCAGCGCCCCGCACCGCCCGGCCCGGGCUGGGAGCGCUCCCCGCGGGGGGCCGGCGGCGGGCAGGGCAGGGCAGAGCAGGGCGGCGGGGGUGGGAUCUGCUCCGCGUAAUCCCCCCGGGGGGCGGCGGGCCGCUCUCGGAGCAUCCCCCCCGUCCCCGGCGCGGGGAGGGGAGAGCCGCCACCCCCCGCUUCCUCCGUUUAAGACCCGGGCCGGCGAGGCGAGAGCGGAGGAGAGCGGCCGCUCCGCAGCUGCCGGCCCCAUUUCGGCGGCGGGGCGGGCGCUGGAUGAGCCGCCGGCGGGAGGCGGCCGGCAGCCGAGCGGGUCCGAUCGCGGCGCGAUGAGCGCGGGCGGCAGCGGCUCGGCGGGCACCGCCACCUCCGCGCUGUGCCUGCUCCUCUCGCUCACCGCCGUGGCCGUGUGCCUGCUGCUGGGCGCUAAGACCGCCGAGCUGCAGGGCCGCCUGGCCGCCCUGGAGGAGCGCGGCGCCGCCGGCCCCGGGCCGCUGCUGGACGCGCUGCAGCCCCGCGUGGAGCAGCUCCUGCGCGAGAAGCUGGGCGAAGGACUCGCGAAGCUGCGGACGGCGAGAGAGGCUCCGUCAGACUGCAUGUGCCCACCAGGCCCUCCGGGGAGGCGAGGGAAGCCUGGACGGCGUGGAGAGCCUGGACCUGCAGUAAGUAUCGUGGAUUUUACAGUUGGAUCGACAAAGUUAAGGCUUUCUCCUUCACCCUCCCCUUCCUUUCUGUGUCAUUGCAAAAGCACAGCAUUUUUUGGUAGAGGUGUGUCUGGAAGGAAAAUUGGUACCAGAUGCUGCUGUAUUUUUUUCACAAUUGUAGACAAAUGGUGUGGGGGGAGUUCUAAAAUGUUUAACUUGCUGCCCUCGGGGACUUCCAGUAAUUUUAAACCCAGCAAAUAUUCAGAAGGAAAAAAAAAAAGAAAGGUUUCCCUUUAGAGUUUCUUUACUCAGCUUCUAUUGAACCCC
rnacentral:lncRNA from 1 species